rnacentral:rRNA from 1 species
CAGCAGUAGGGAAUCUUCCGCAAUGGACGAAAGUCUGACGGAGCAACGCCCCGUGAGUGAUGAAGGUUUUCGGAUCGUAAAACUCUGUUGUCAGGGAAGAACAAGUGCCAGAGUAACUGCCGGCACCUUGACGGUACCUGACCAGAAAGCCACGGCUAACUACGUGCCAGCACCCGCGGUAAUACGUAGGUGGCAAGCGUUGUCCGGAAUUAUUGGGCGUAAAGCGCGCG